rnacentral:rRNA from 1 species
UACAUGGGGUGCAAACGUUGCUCGGAAUUAUUGGGCGUAAAGCGCACGUAGGCGGUUCGUUAAGUCGGAUGUGAAAGCCCUCGGCUCAACUGAGGAAGUGCACCCGAAACUGGCGAGCUUGAGUACGAAAGAGGAUCGCGGAAUUCCCGGUGUAGAGGUGAAAUUCGUAGAUAUCGGGAGGAACACCGGUGGCGAAGGCGGCCGAUCGAUCGGGU